rnacentral:sRNA from 1 species
UGGACACAUUUUUUUUUUUAAGCUCAUAAAUACUUUAGUGUGUGUCUCUAAAAGGAGGGUGAUUCUGCCCCCUGGGGGACACUGGCAGUGUCUGGGGACAUUUGUGCUUGUCACAGCUAAGGGUGCUUCUGGCAUGGAGUGGGUUGGGGCAGGGACGCUGCUCAGCGCCUUGCAGUGCCUAGGACGGCCCCACCUCAGAGAACAGUCUGGCCCCGACGUCCACAAGGCCGAGUGGGAGAGACUCUGCUCUGAACCAAAUGGACUGUGUGAAAAAUGUGUUUACCAUAAUCACAAUAGUAAAAAAUAGGGAUGAUUUCUUAAUGUCAGGUACGUAUUAUGUAUUCAGGAUACUCUUUUUUUCUUUACGAUAAACUUAAGGGCGGGCGUGGUGGCUCGCGUCUGUUAAUUCCAGCACUUUGGGAGGCCGAGGCAGGUGAAUCAUAAGGCCAGGAGCUUGAGACCAGCCUGGCCAACAUGGUGAAACCCCGUUUCUACUAAAAAUACAAAAAUCAGCUGGGCGUGGUGGCGCGUGCCUGUAAUCCCAGCUACUCGGGAGGCUGAGGCAGGAGAAUCACUUGAACCUGGGAGGCAGAGGUUGCAGUGAGCUGAGAUUGUGCCAUUGCACUCCAGCCUGGGCGACAGAGUGAGACUCUGUCCCAAAAAAAAACCACCACCAAAAAAAAAACUUAAAAGUUUUUCAGAAAUGCACUUGUGGGUUUGGGUCUUGCCUUUUAUUCUCUGCUUUUAGUGAUCUGAGCUAUUGUCUAUAGUCCAAAAGAUAAUACUGAUUUAAUGAAGAAACAUCAUUACAAGCAGGGAUUCAUGGACUAGGUUUGCACCUUCUGAACCAUGAGGUAGACCAUGUCUAGAGGCCGGAACCUGGUGACCCGGGCUCCCUGCGGCCUUCUUAACCGCGGGCCACGUGGGGUCAGUUGGGCAGUGCCUGCUGCUGCUGAGCCCCGUGCCCUCUCACAGGCCAUCAUCUGUGCGAUCUCUGCAGUGGACGAGGUGGACUACAAGACGGCCGAGGAGAAGUACAUCAAGGGGCCUUCGCUGAGCUACCGGGAAAAGGAAAUAUUUGACAACCAGCUCCUUGAAGAGCGGAACCGGCGCCGUCAGUGAUGGAGCAGCCGGCUGUGCUGUCAGCGGGGCCUGGCGGUGGAAGCGCCUCCAGUGUGCAUGAGCAUGUCUGAAGAUGGGGGGCUCAGGGGGGCACGUUUGCGUUUAGACCUGUCUGUGCGUUCUCCUGCGUGGCAGUCCUGAUUUCCAUACUUCUGGAGAAUGCAUUUCGUUAACAUUGAAAGCCAGUUCUCUUUUCCUGGCAGUUUUUUUCAUUUUAUUUUUGGCAUUUUUUACAAGAUACCGUUCGGGAAAGGCUUUUGAAAGGACGGAAGCGUAUUCACUGUGCGCCAGUACUCCUGGCUGUGCUGUGGUUUCUCCCGACGUGCACAUUUAUCUCCUAUG